CCGUCGUCAUUUCUUUCAUGCAGUCGAGCGCUUCACUUCGGUGAGGAGCGGCGGACGGGUUAGUAACGCGUGGGAAUAUACCCUUUUCUAUGGAAUAGCCUCGGGAAACUGAGAGUAAUACCAUAUACGCCCUUCGGGGGAAAGAUUUAUCGGUGAAGGAUUAGCCCGCGUAAGAUUAGAUAGUUGGUGGGGUAAUGGCCUACCAAGUCUACGAUCUUUAGCUGGUUUGAGAGGAUGAUCAGCAACACUGGGACUGAGACACGGCCCAGACUCCUACGGGAGGCAGCAGUGGGGAAUCUUAGACAAUGGGCGCAAGCCUGAUCUAGCCAUGCCGCGUGAGUGACGAAGGCCUUAGGGUCGUAAAGCUCUUUCGCCAGAGAUGAUAAUGACAGUAUCUGGUAAAGAAACCCCGGCUAACUCCGUGCCAGCAGCCGCGGUAAUACGGAGGGGGUUAGCGUUGUUCGGAAUUACUGGGCGUAAAGCGUACGUAGGCGGAUUGGAAAGUAGGGGGUGAAAUCCCGGGGCUCAACCCCGGAACUGCCUCCUAAACUAUCAGUCUAGAGUUCGAGAGAGGUGAGUGGAAUUCCAAGUGUAGAGGUGAAAUUCGUAGAUAUUUGGAGGAACACCAGUGGCGAAGGCGGCUCACUGGCUCGAUACU
rnacentral:rRNA from 1 species